CAUUACUGUGGCCUGCCAGGGAGCGGAGGCCUGUCGGCUGAAGCUCGAUUGAGGUGCCUGGCGGAGAGAGGUAGCCAUCCAUCUGAGAGGAGCUCAGAUGUUGCUGGCGAACCUUCUACCGUUAGGUGCCUUGGGCGUUAAUACUGCAGGUGAGGGCCACUUGCCGUAGGAGCUCGAUCAGAGGCUUUCCACAGAUGAAGUUUGGUUUCGCACAGAAUUCGACAGAGGGU
rnacentral:lncRNA from 1 species